AAGAAAUGCGUAAAUUGUGAAAAUUGGGGUGCAGACAGCGAAUAUAAUCAGACCCAAAAUCAGACCAAUAAAAACAUGGGGUGCGAGAUCAGCAAUUAUGGAGGUGCACAAAGAAGUUUCCAAAACAAAGGAGGGUGAGAAAGAAAAGUUACAGGUGCGGGAAGUAAAGAAAACAAAACAAGCCCAAAAAAAGACAAUGAAACAUGAGGAGUAAGAUCAGUAAAACAGGAGGUUGCACAAAGAAGAAAACACAGCAGGCCACAUAGAAAAUGGAGGUGCGGAGAUUGAAAAUAGGGGUACGCGUGGCGGAAAUGUUCAACCUAACUCCCACUGAAGCUAAACCCUUCUUGAAAAUUAAAGCUUCUCCUUCUCUUGCAGCAGUCUCUUCUUCCCAUCACCGCACACCACAACGUCCAGGCCGCCGCUGCACGUCCCACCGCCGUGGACGCCAGUCACCAUCGGCAGUGUCGCCGACGUGAACCCAGCUGCCUGAGUUGCUUCCUCGUUUCUUUCUCCUGCGCGCGAGGCUCCUUCGUCGCACCUCCGUAGCCAACCAAGACUUGCCGCCACUGUACCGGCCACCACGAUCGGAACACGCGAGCACCAUGGAAGCUCAACCUCCGGCCUUCGCGACCCAGAUCGACACCGCUGCGCCCCAAGUCUUUCAUUCUUCUUCUUGCGCGAGACAGAUGCUCAAGCUUUGCUCCCUCUCUUCUCAGGCGUGGCUCGAACGGCCUCCGCUUCGUUCUCUCAGACCACCGCGACCGAGGCCGCCGUCGUAGCAUCAUCGCCGUGAACUGGAACGCUACUGGAUACACGAUUUCAGCUCUCUCUUUCCUCACGUCAAAGCGACCUAACCCAAGCACUAGUUUGCACACGACUCGCCGCGACGCGGUGAAGCUCCAACUCGCCGGCGGCGCUGCCGCCGGCGAUGAUUUUAUCUCCUUCUCACUUCUCUGUUUUGGUUGAAUGCGUGUGACUGGGGAAGGUGAGACUUGAAUGUUUGGCACUGGAAUUGGGGUUUGGGUUCUCUGUUAUUUUGGCUUUUUAUGCGGGUAUAAGAUGAAGAUGAGAAAGAACAAAAAUUAACAGAUGGUGGGAGAUUGCGUGUCGGUGAUGAUGAUUGCAGUGUCUGGACUUUGUAUUUUCAAGUGUGUUUUUUUUUCUUUUCAGGUGGAAUAUGAGUGUGGAGUAUGUAACAGUGGGGGAAUUGGUGAAUGGACAAAUGGUCGGGAAUAUAGGGGUGAUGGAAGCUCGUGUGUUGUUGGCUGACUUUGGGGAAUGGAGACUACAGGGAUAAAUGGAGGUAAUAUGUGGCUAUGAAGUUCGGUUGGGAAGUGACUGUGGUGGGUUAGAAGAUAAAGCUGGUCAUGUUUAUGUAUGUACAGGCAGACAUGGUGAAGAAGGACUGAAUGCAUUACGCGAUAUUUGGUGUUAGUCGCUGUGAUUGGAUUUUGAUUUUUUUGUUUUGUUGUUUUUGUUUAGAUGGCAUAGGCACAUUGUAAAUGGAGAUCACAACAUCACAACGGCUUUUUACAUGCAGAUGCGCGUGAAGCAAAAGAACACAGCACAAAAGAACACAGCACAACAGAACAUCAUAUUCGCAUAUUUAACCAGUCGCACACAUUCCAGUUCAUAUUCACGGCAAUGUUACUUACCUCUUGAUGCUUCUUCACUCGUGUUCCUCCUUUCACUGUGGGAGUCUCCUCCUUUUCAAAUGGCUUUCCUCCCUUGAUAUUACCAUGCCAGUUUCCCCUUUCAUCAUACUCUGCACAACGUUCUGAGAUGACCAAAAGCAUAAGCCAGGAUGCCUCCCAGCCACCCUAUCAGUGUAGCUACGUCUGUUGUCCGCUGCCAUGCCUGUCAUUGGUGCAGCCGUGAUACACUUGCCCACGAUUUCCUUUUGAGUGUCGAAACCUCAAGAGCAGAGUAACGUGGGAAGAUCAAAAAAAAUCUUUGCAUGAGAGUGGAAAGGUCAGCAGAGAUGGAACGGAGGUGGAACAGCCAAAGUUGACUUCAAAUUUUCACCCUCUUUUUUUCAUUUUAAUAAAUUUUUUUAAUACAAUAUUUACAAAAACACAAAAACGAAAAUGAUCAAA